rnacentral:rRNA from 1 species
UACAGAGGUCCCGAGCGUUGUUCGGAUUCAUUGGGCGUAAAGGGUGCGUAGGCGGCGGGGAAAGUCUGAUGUGAAAUCCUGGGGCUCAACCCUGGAACUGCAUUGGAUACUUCCUUGCUAGAGUACUGGAGAGGAAACUGGAAUUUACGGUGUAGCAGUGAAAUGCGUAGAGAUCGUAAGGAAGACCAGUGGCGAAGGCGGGUCUCUGGGCCGAUACUGACGCUGAGGAGCGAAAGCGUGGGGAGCGAACAGG